rnacentral:rRNA from 1 species
AAAGCGUGCGCAGGCGGUUAUGUAAGACAGAUGUGAAAUCCCCGGGCUCAACCUGGGAACUGCAUUAGUGACUGCAUAGCUGGAGUACGGCAGAGGGGGAUUGAAUUCCGCGUGUAGCAGUGAAAUGCGUAGAUAUGCGGAGGAACACCGAUGGCGAAGGCAAUCCCCUGGGCCUGUACUGACGCUCAUGCACGAAAGCGUGGGGAGCAAACAGGAUUAGAUACCCCAGU